rnacentral:rRNA from 1 species
UCCUACGGGAGGCAGCAGUGGGGAAUUUUGGACAAUGGGGGCAACCCUGAUCCAGCAAUGCCGCGUGAGUGAAGAAGGCCUUCGGGUUGUAAAGCUCUUUUGUCAGGGAAGAAACGGUAGUCUCUAAUACAGAUUGCUAAUGACGGUACCUGAAGAAUAAGCACCGGCUAACUACGUGCCAGCAGCCGCGGUAAUACGUAGGGUGCAAGCGUUAAUCGGAAUUACUGGGCGUAAAGCGUGCGCAGGCGGUUGUGCAAGACAGAUGUGAAAUCCCCGGGCUCAACCUGGGAAUUGCAUCUGUGACUGUACGGCUAGAGUGUGUCAGAGGGGGGUAGAAUUCCACGUGUAGCAGUGAAAUGCGUAGAUAUGUGGAGGAAUACCGAUGGCGAAGGCAGCCCCCUGGGAUAACACUGACGCUCAUGCACGAAAGCGUGGGGAGCAAACAGGGUUAGAUACCCUGGUAGUCCACGCCCUAAACGAUGUCUACUAGUUGUCGGGUCUUAAUUGACUUGGUAACGCAGCUAACGCGUGAAGUAGACCGCCUGGGGAGUACGGUCGCAAGAUUAAAACUCAAAGGAAUUGACGGGGACCCGCACAAGCGGUGGAUGAUGUGGAUUAAUUCGAUGCAACGCGAAAAACCUUACCUACCCUUGACAUGUACGGAAUCCUGAAGAGAUUUGGGAGUGCUCGAAAGAGAGCCGUAACACAGGUGCUGCAUGGCUGUCGUCAGCUCGUGUCGUGAGAUGUUGGGUUAAGUCCCGCAACGAGCGCAACCCUUGUCAUUAGUUGCUACGAAAGGGCACUCUAAUGAGACUGCCGGUGACAAACCGGAGGAAGGUGGGGAUGACGUCAAGUCCUCAUGGCCCUUAUGGGUAGGGCUUCACACGUCAUACAAUGGUACAUACAGAGGGCCGCCAACCCGCGAGGGGGAGCUAAUCCCAAAAAGUGUAUCGUAGUCCGGAUUGGAGUCUGCAACUCGACUCCAUGAAGUUGGAAUCGCUAGUAAUCGCGGAUCAGCAUGUCGCGGUGAAUACGUUCCCGGGUCUUGUACACACCGCCCGUCACACCAUGGGAGCGGGUUCUGCCAGAAGUAGUUAGCCUAACCGCAAGGAGGGCGAUUACCACGGCAGGGUUCGUGACUGGGGUGAAGUCGUAACAAGGUAGCCGUAUCGGAAGGUGCGGCUG